GAUAAGAAUACAAAAGUGUAAAAGCUGAAAACCUCCAUAAACCUAAAAGCUGAAAAAUUAUCAUCACUCCACAACAGGGCGGGCCAUGGUCGGCCUAACCUUUUGGCGUACCGGACCACUUGUCGGCUAACCUGUAUAUUUAAAAAGCACUGGUUUUGGGCCUUUUGGCAAAGCUGGGUAUUCAAAAUGAGUGUGGUUAAUUUGGCCUCGAUGAGUCGUUUAAACCUUAAACUCCUGUGAAAUCUGGAUAAUUUGCCUUUGAGUGAGAGUCCAAAAAGUGGCAAUGGCUACUAACAAAAAGAUACAAAAUGCUCUUAUCAUGGCUCAACUGGAGAGGCGCUCCAUGUAUUCUCAACUCUGAGAGCCCAAAUAUCGAUUUUCGUGGUUUCUAAACUUGAUCUUGGAUUAAUCCAUGUCCUCAAGUGGAUGAAGAUUUUAAAAUACAUCACUGAAGAUGAAGAGCUGCGAUGCAUUCCUGCCAUAAUCAUGGUGGUCGACCAGGAGAGAGAUCGAUGUCCAUGGUUGCUGACUGCUUGAGAAAUGGAGCAGUGGACUUAUCUCAUGACGCCUUUAGGCAUGAAUAAAUUGUUGAAACCGGUGGACUCAUGUGGAGAGCAAGACGCAUGGUACCAUCAGAGCCCAAGUGUUUAGUAGAUUACUUGGCAUUGUUGAUUCAGAGGUUUGGCAGGAGAGCUGGGGAUAUGAAGAUAGCCAUUUUUGCAACCUAUUUUGGGCUUGGACAGCAGAUUCACUGGUGAUUGUCCUGUCUCUUCCUCUUAAAUGUCUCUCUGGUCCAUUUCCCUCAACCACUGUUUACUUUAUCAUUUAAAUUAUUCUUUGGGGGAAGAUCUUGGUGUCAAGUUAUAUGUUCCAAGUUUUUACUUCAACUAACCCUUCAUUAAAGUCAAUUUAUACUAGUAUAACAUUUAGUUUCUGCAAUAUUUAGUCUGCCUUUUGAUGGUCAAUUGAUUCUCUCUCAUCUGAAAAUCUUUGUUGUAUAUUAGGUGAUGUUUUUUUCUUCCAGUUUUCUUGAAUAUUCCUUUAUGACAUUAUUUUCUGGUUUAGAUGCUGUAGUUGACAUGGAUAUUAUACCCCUUUGUCAUCCUGAAUUUCUAACUCUAAACUUGGUUGCAUCUUUAUAAUGUAGCAUGCAAAUGAUAUGGGGGUUGAUAACAUUAAGGAAAUCUAACCUCUUUGGCAAUCAAAUAUGGUGAAAAAGUCUAGCUGGCAGCUGCAAUUACCUAUUCCACUACGACAGUUUGGGAACAGAAAAGUAUGUAGAUUUUGUUAUUGAAGAGUAGGGAAGUUACAAGGAAAUCUCUUACUUUCUUUUGUCUUUCAUUGAACCCAAGAUUAUUGGUUCCCUUGGAGUAAUCUUUCUUGCCAUGAUUUUUCAGGAGCUUAGAUUAUGUUCGGAUAAAUCUGGAAGUUCUUUAGUGUUGUGCAAUGGCUUUGUUCUUGGAGUCAAGCCUCCUGACAUACUUACAACAGACAGUUGGAUUUCUCCAAAUACCAUUACAAGGACUCGUGCUAAUGGAAAAGCUUCUUCAGAGGGAAUGAGUCUAAACAUGAGUACCCCUUCAUCAAGUCUGAAGUUUGAAAAUCAUUCAGUUUUGAAAAUCAUUCAGUACUAUCUCCCAGUGAUCACAGCAGUGUGGAAGGAGUCUUAAAUCUAGUGGAACUUAACACAAACAAACCAGACCCUUUCAACUUAGGUCCACUCAGUAGUGAAAUUGAAAGAGUCCCUUCAGCCCGUGGAAGGAAAAGCUGGGAUAGAGUCUCUUAAUAUGCCUUCACAGCAGCUGCAUCUGAGGAUUUCUGUAGCUAUGCUGGCUGCUUGGAUCCUGCAGAAGUUUCUGCUAGUUCUAUCAGUGCAUCUCUUGUUCCAUUUUAUUGUGGGACUCAGAGAAUGCAAAAAUUGCACAAAGAUGUCAAGUUGCUGCUAUGUUGUACUCAACUGAGAGUCAGGUUUGGGAUAAGUACAAAAUUUGUUGAUCAUGUUAGGCAGCCAUGGUUGAGUUUUGAGGUGGAUGAAUCUCCAAGCCUAUGCUAGGUUCUUGAUGCAUGUGGCCAGGUUGUUCACAUGUCCAUGGAUUCUGGUAGCAGAUCCAAGUGGAGGCCUGUUGUGACCUGAAAGAAUGGGUUUUUAAACUCUCCUACCAUAUGAUAAAAGUAAGCUCCUAUCUUUUUUGCUCUUAAUGGGAAGAAGAUAUCUGGCAAAGUUUAAAGUACUCUGAAGUGUUAAGUUGUGGUAGGAAUUGGGGUUCAUUUCACAUAUUCAAGUAAUAUGCUGGAGGAGUUCUUUUUUUGUUUUCCCUUUUAGCAGUACUGAAGUGCAAGAAUUACAAAAUGGAGAGGAGAAUGUAGCCUUUCUGUUGAUAUGUUUUUUGUGCUCCUUACAUUCACAUUACCGCACGAUCCUUUACUUCAAUUUUGGCCUCACCUUUCAUUAGGUACAAAAGUUACUAUUUAUAUCAUGCAAGAAUGGAUUUCUAUUUUUUAGUGCUCCUUGUGUAUUGAGAAUAAAAAACAAAAUGAAAAGAAAUAUUUGAAUCUCACCACCAUUGGUAGGCGGAAUUGUGGAUGCAAUAUUCCACAUUCUUUGUUGAGUCCAGCUUGCCCCUAAUGGAGUUUUUGUGUUAAAUUUAGGUCCCCUCAGCCUACUGCUUAUUGAUGUCUAAUGACCGUGUAUUUUUUUUUUCUUCAUCUACUGCAUGCCUACUACAGCAAAUGGGGAUAUUACUAUAUAUGCCACAGAGACGUACCGGAAAGAUUCUUCAUGUAUCACACAGAGGCCUAUAUUUAGUAGAUUUGAUGCUGCAGAGCUUGAUACCUUGUUCAUUCCUGGAACUCUUGUGGAUGCAUCCUUUGCAUUGGACUCAUACAACCAUCAACUGAAUGUAGGUAUCUGGCUAGUUUCCAAAAGGUUGAUCAUCCAUGCCAAGUAAUGCGGUUCUGCGAGGACCACAGGAUUUAUGAUUCCUUUAAAGAGGGUCAGCUGGCAUGUAAAAUUAUACUAAAUAGAAUUAUAUUUAUGCGGGAGUUUGUUUUUCACUAUCAUUAGGUUGAGGUGGAAAACAUAUGGAUGCUGGGGAUGUUUGAUAUGUAAUUGAAAACUCUAGUUGUUCUAACUUGAAUAUUUUAUGUACAGCAGUUAACUGAAAUGCUGACCUACUCUGUUUAUUUCCUUCUCAAAAAAAACUUUCCGAUUAUGUUGAAAUUAGACAUACUUAUAGAGCAUAUAUUUGAACAUCUUCAGGCAAUCAGGAAUAGAAAUGCAACUUGGACUGUGCACGAGACUCAUAAGGAAGCAUCAAUGUCAUCACUCGUAUGGUUUCUGUUUACUUGAGCCAAAAUUGGAGGUGGAGAAAGAGGAACAAAGGGAGAAGGAUUGUUGAUCAAAUUAACAGCAACAAAAGGUAAAUGGUGAACCAUCCCUUAGGUUUCCUCUCUUGAGCGUAUUGUUAGGUUUUAGAUAAUUAGUUUUAGGCCUUGAGAUUCAAGUAAAACUACGAACUCUGUUGCAAAAUCUCCAGAAAGCUGGCCUGUGUCCAUGAGUCCUUGACCAGUUGACUUGGUUUGUCUCCAUUGAUAGAGAUGUAAAUUGCACACUUGCAGUGCAUUAAUGUUGAGGGUGGUGAGGGGCUGAGAAAGUAACAGGCCCUCCACAUGCCUUGCUACGGCCUUCAACCAUUGCAUGAUGGGUCCUGCCAUUACUUCCUUCACAUGUGAGGAGUGCUUUCUACUAAGGAACAUGUGAUAUAAAUCUUGAAGGAUUUAUCAUGUGACAUAAAUAUUGAAAGGCACUGUACUGGUUGAGGUUGGCUAGUAAAAGCACUCCAUCUUAUGAUCGCCCCAAACUAGAUCAUGUAUCAAUUCUCAAAAGGAUCAAGAUUCACCAUAAUGAUAAACAUCCUUUUAAGGCCAAUAAUCAAGAAAUUAAAAGAGUAAUGUACAAAUUUAAUGGUUAAGACUUGUCUGAUAAAGCAGGUCUUUUGUAAUAUUUUUUCAUUCAUUGAACUCAUAAGAUGAUUAGUCCAAUCCUCUUUCUUGGCUGCCCAUGGUUGGCCCGACUUUUUGGUCUACCAGAUUAAUUGUCAGCUAACCUGGAUAUUUAACAAGGAAUGGGUUGCCUUUCCAUGGGUCAUGAAUUCUUGUGAAGCAUUCUUUUCUCUGAAACAAUUUGGCACGUUGUGUUGGAAUUGUAAUGGACAAGGCCUGCCAAAAGUGAUGCUAGUGGCAAUGGCAAUACUAAUAAAAGGAUAUGUGCCUUUGUCAAUAGGAGCAAACUGAAGAUUUUGCUAUGUGAUGCAAAUGUUAAUAAUUGUAGAGAAGUUGCCACACUUCUGCGAGGAUGCUCUUAUCAGAGUAUUAUUUCUAUAGUUGUUGCUUCUUCACUAAUUUGAAUUUUUCUCUUAUGUUUCAAUACCUCAAAUUUAUGAUUUAUUUGUAGAAGUUUGGUAUUACAUUACUGGAAAGAAAUUUUAUUUUCCUACUACUGGCAUUUUUGUUUUUUUGCAGGUUGGCUCUCCACAAGCUCCAUAACCAUUGCAUGAUGGUUGAAGGAAUUAGUGACUUCAGUUGGCUCAACUCGAGAGGUAAUCUAUGUCCUGAACUGUGAGGGGGCCAGUAUCGAUAUUGUACUUGCUGAAGCUGAUCUUCCUAUGGCCAACAGCAUGAAGAUUUUAAAGUACAUUACUCAAGAUCAAGAGCUGCGAUGCAUUCCAGUGAUGAUGUUGGUGGCACAGGACAACAUCUCCAUGAUCGCAAAGUGCUUGAUGCAUGGAGCGACUACCUCAUGAUGCCUUUAGGUAGUAACGUGCUAUUUAAUUUGUGGACUCGUGUCUGGAGAACAAGGCGCAUGCUUGGACUUCCAGAGAAAAACAUCUUUCAUAGUGACUUUGAAAGAUUUGUGGCAUCCGCCAUCUAUGCUGGAGAUGCUUCUGGAAAAGGGGUCAUUUUACAAGACGAGGCAUCCUCAUCCCUUGAGUAAGAACUUCAAAGUCCCCAUGAAAAGAUGGAGAAUACUGGAUGGUCAAUCAUGAAUCUUGAGAUGAAGAGCACAGGCAGCAUUCAAGAAAAUCCAGGUCCUAUUGACACUCAAGGCCAUGUAUAAACAUUGGGCAUUGUAAUGAUUCCAGCUUAGCUUUCAUCUAAAUGAUUUUCCGUUUUCAUCUAAGAAAUGUUGAAUCUUGAGACACUCUUCUCAUUACAAGUUUCUCUAUUGUCAAGAAUUAAAGACUUUAGACA